rnacentral:rRNA from 1 species
GAUGAACGCUGGCGGCGUGCCUAAUACAUGCAAGUCGAGCGAACAGACGAGGAGCUUGCUCCUCUGACGUUAGCGGCGGACGGGUGAGUAACACGUGGAUAACCUACCUAUAAGACUGGGAUAACUUCGGGAAACCGGAGCUAAUACCGGAUAAUAUCUUGAACCGCAUGGUUCAAUAGUGAAAGACGGUUUUGCUGUCACUUAUAGAUGGAUCCGCGCCGCAUUAGCUAGUUGGUAAGGUGACGGCUUACCAAGGCAACGAUGCGUAGCCGACCUGAGAGGGUGAUCGGCCACACUGGAACUGAGACACGGUCCAGACUCCUACGGGAGGCAGCAGUAGGGAAUCUUCCGCAAUGGGCGAAAGCCUGACGGAGCAACGCCGCGUGAGUGAUGAAGGUCUUCGGAUCGUAAAACUCUGUUAUUAGGGAAGAACAAAUGUGUAAGUAACUGUGCACGUCUUGACGGUACCUAAUCAGAAAGCCACGGCUAACUACGUG